CUAGCGUAUUCUAAAAGAUGCCACUCAGGAACAGCCACGCGGAGGAGGCGCACAGGGCAAGGAGACUGGUGGGCAAGUUGGAGCGGGCGGGUGAUUUGCUUCGCUUCCUCACACACCUCACAAAAGCUUUUCCUUCAAGACCCGCUGGCAGCCCCCAAACCACGAGCCACGGCCGGCGCUGUCCCAUUAAUGAGUCCCCAUUUGCUCACAUGAACUCUGUUUUGAUGGGGCCUCGAUCUCAUUCCGAACAGGGUAAAGCAGGGACGGGAUCCCCAGACCACAGCUUCUCCCACAGCUCCUCCCACGCCGGCAUCGCGCACGCCGCGCGGGCGGCUUCCAGAUAAGCUACUCCUCACCCCACAGCCUGGGGAAGGUGCGGGGCUGCGGGCGCAGAGCUGCACAAGGAGGGCUGCAGGCUGGGCCAGAGCCGCUGUGCGGGGACCGACAGGAGCCCAGGUCCCUCACCGGAGGGUACUGAGGCCCCAGG
rnacentral:lncRNA from 1 species